rnacentral:rRNA from 1 species
GUCAUAGUGAUCCGGUGGUUCUGAAUGGAAGGGCCAUCGCUCAACGGAUAAAAGGUACUCCGGGGAUAACAGGCUGAUACCGCCCAAGAGUUCAUAUCGACGGCGGUGUUUGGCACCUCGAUGUCGGCUCAUCACAUCCUGGGGCUGAAGUAGGUCCCAAGGGUAUGGCUGUUCGCCAUUUAAAGUGGUACGCGAGCUGGGUUUAGAACGUCGUGAGACAGUUCGGUCCCUAUCUGCCGUGGGCGCUGGAGAACUGAGGGGGGCUGCUCCUAGUACGAGAGGACCGGAGUGGACGCAUCACUGGUGUUCGGGUUGUCAUGCCAAUGGCACUGCCCGGUAGCUAAAUGCGGAAGAGAUAAGUGCUGAAAGCAUCUAAGCACGAAACUUGCCCCGAGAUGAGUUCUCCCUGACUCCUUGAGAGUCCUGAAGGAACGUUGAAGACGACGACGUUGAUAGGCCGGGUGUGUAAGCGCAGCGAUGCGUUGAGCUAACCGGUACUAAUGAACCGUGAGGCUUAACCUUACAACGCCGAAG